rnacentral:rRNA from 1 species
UAAGCAUAUCAAUAAGCGGAGGAAAAGAAACUAACAAGGAUUCCCCUAGUAACUGCGAGUGAAGCGGGAAAAGCUCAAAUUUAAAAUCUGGUGGUCUUUGGCCAUCCGAGUUGUAAUUUAGAGAAGCGUCUUCCGCGCUGGGCCGUGCACAAGUCUCCUGGAAUGGAGCGUCACAGAGGGUGAGAAUCCCGUCUUUGGCAUGGACACACCAGGGCUUUUGUGAUGCGCUCUCGAAGAGUCGAGUUGUUUGGGAAUGCAGCUCAAAAUGGGUGGUGAACUCCAUCUAAAGCUAAAUAUUGGCGAGAGACCGAUAGCGAACAAGUACCGUGAGGGAAAGAUGAAAAGCACUUUGGAAAGAGAGUGAAACAGUACGUGAAAUUGUUGAAAGGGAAACGCUUGAAGUCAGUCGCGUUGACCGAGACUCAGCCUUGCCUUGGCUUGGUGUACUUCUCGGCCGACGGGUCAGCAUCAAUUUUGCCCCUUGGAUAAUGAUGGGGGAAAUGUGACACCUUUAUGGUGUGUUAUAGUCUCUUGUCGCAUGCGAGGGUCGGGAUUGAGGAACUCAGCACGCACCUUUGGGUGUCGGGGCUUUGCCCACGAUACGUGCUUAGGAUGUUGGCGUAAUGGCUUUAAACGACCCGUCUUGAAACACGGACCAAGGAGUCUAACAUGCCUGCGAGUGUUCGGGUGGAAAACCCGUGCGCGUAAUGAAAGUAAAAGUUGGGACCUCUGUCGUGGAGGGCACCGACGCCCGGACCAGACCUUCUGUGACGGCUCUGCGGUAAAGCAUGUAUGUUAGGACCCGAAAGAUGGUGAACUAUGCCUGAAUAGGGUGAAGCCAGAGGAAACUCUGGUGGAGGCUCGUAGCGAUUCUGACGUGCAAAUCGAUCGUCAAAUUUGGGUAUAGGGGCGAAAGACUAAUCGAACCAUCUAGCAGCUGGUUCCUGCCGAAU